rnacentral:rRNA from 1 species
UGGGGGAUAUUGCACAAUGGGCGAAAGCCUGAUGCAGCGACGCCGCGUGGGGGAUGAAGGCCUUCGGGUUGUAAACUUCUUUUGCUCUGAACAAGGCAUGCUAAUGGGUGUGUUGAGUGUAGGGGUUGAUUAGCGCCGGCUAACUACGCGCCAGCAGCCGCGGUAAUACGUAGGGCGCGAGCGUUGUCCGGAAUUAUUGGGCGUAAAGGGCUUGUAGGUGGCUGGUUGCGUCUGUCGUGAAAGCUCAUGGCUUAACUGUGGGUUUGCGGUGGGUACGGGCUGGCUUGAGUGCAGUAGGGGAGGCUGGAAUUCCUGGUGUAGCGGUGGAAUGCGCAGAUAUCAGGAGGAAUACCGGUGGCGAAGGCGGGUCUCUGGGCUGUUACUGACACUGAGGAGCGAAAGCAUGGGGAGCGAACAGG